ACUAGGCCAAUCUUGUUACUUGCUGGAGGACAUGAAUGGCAAGGAAAUAGGGAAAUAUCAUGCCAAAGAUAUUUGGUAACUGGGUACUCGCUUAGUGUUAUCCAGUUUUAAUGCAAGGGUUUCCCUCGAUUCAAACUGUAGGGGAGGGGUGUGUAGCGAGCACCCUAUAUAAAAAUACAAAAUACUUGACUUCCUAGGCAGGCCAAUAUUUCUUACCCUUAGUGUGUGGAGAGAGAAGGGAGAAACCAAGUUGAAAGAGACAUACGCAAAGCCCUGUUACCCACGCAUCCACUGACCAAAAGUAGGUAGAAAAUCAUUCGAUCUUACAGUUAGGUUGGGAAGCUGUAGUGCAGCAGGGAAUGGCUGUACUCCCCCAAGCUCGCAGAAAUCAUUUCAUUCUGAUCUUUUGCCGAGUGAAGAGCCUCGAGUACAUAUUGUGAAAUAAUAAGAAGAUCCCGCGGACACGUGUAGAGAGAAAAAGAAACUAUACAGUGAAAGCAGUGCAGGCCAUUCAGGCAGCAAAUUUAAGACAUUAUAAUAAUAAAAACUACUUGUGUUUGUGUGUGGGUUCAAAAUUCUUAAGGUAUCCCAUUUGACCAGGAUCAGCCUGAUAGGCUCUCCGUGUGGCAAGUGGCCUCGGAUCGGACGUCGGAUCAGUCAGGAGGCCGUAGCACCACCAAAGCCACCCCCCCGCCGAAUCAGUGGGACGCACAUGGGUUGGUAGCCGCAUCGUACCAUCAGUGCACCGUACCCCGAUUCUUAUCUUCUCACCGGUUGGCGAUAAGGUGUCGUUCAGCAGCUGCAGUAGCAACCAACGGAUGCCGCCGCCCCCCGAUUAGGUUUUCUCUUUGGUGAAGCAAGCUGCCGUCAUGAUUUUGUGAGCGGCAUAGGACCCACAUGUCCAAGUAUUUAGCUUUAAGCACGAUGACCAUGCCUGCGAGCAUAUAUGUGUGUCAAUAUUGUAUUUAGAGCAGAUUGACGCGAAUAAUUUUCACGGCGAAUCUCGAUAGCUGCGCCACAAAAGUAUCGACUCCCAACAAUAAUGGUAAUCUUCACGGCGAACCUCGAUAGCUGCGCCACAAAAGUAUCGACUCCCAACCAUAAUAACAAUUCCCAUUAUUGUAGUACUAUAAAUGGAAUUUCAUAAAGUUAUUGCAUAGAUGCAGUCAUUCACGAGUAUGAAUUAAUUAGUGUAGGACCUUAUCCUUAAAUUUAGUCUCUAAGCAAACCCACCCAGCCUUGAAAGAGAGAUCAGCCAGGUCUUUUCCCCAUUGUACCAUUCUCUAAUAGCAUUAAGUCCACAGCAAAGAUCACCUACGACAUCUUGGGCCCAACGAUGGAUGCAGAAUCUGUAAAGCUGAGUGAGUAAAGAAAACGAAGAGUAACAGUAAAUUCAUAUAGAUAAGUACAAUGGGAAAUCCCUGUUAUGUUCUGCCUUUCUAUCCCAAACUAUGAAGAUUAGUUGUAAUUGUAGUUUAGUACCGCUAAUUUUGCGAAUAUUUAAUUAUACGAAAUGAACAUGAA